CAGCUUGUAAACAGUAGAAAUUCACUGUUUUAAGUAAUAUACCUGGUUAUUUGUGAGAUAUAAGACAUUCAGAGGCUGUCAUGAUUAUACUCCAUGUUGUGUGAUCAUUAUAUAUAAGUUAAAGAUCAGUUAGUAAAAACGGUAGGAGUGUGCAGAUAAGAUGUUUCAAAAUGACAAUUCCAGCGACUCAUGUUCGAAACAAUCCUAUGAAAAAGUUCUCGUAAGUCAUGGUUAUUUAAGUAUAACUUAUAAUCAAUUUAUGUCGUUCGAUUUUUUUGUGCAAAGAGCCCCUGAACCUUAAAUGGGAUAACAUGCAACCAUACUUGAUCUAAGGCCAUAUAUAAUGCAUUACAGAUCUAAAUUGAUUUUAAAUUCCGUACCUAAAAGGUCAAGGUCAUUGAUACUUAACUACACCAUAAUUAUUGCAGGCAAGAGUUUCCGGAGUGAAACUCCACAAUCUUAUUAUUUGUAUCACGCAAAUGAUCCCUUCCAUACCUAUAGUGGGUACCGAUUGGGAUAUGCAAAUAUGAGUUCAUUCAAAUAAAAAAUAAAAUUUAGUAACGACCAACGGGGAUUUUGUCUUAAGCUUUGUGUAUUACGUAUUUACAUUAAACACGAAUGAUACCGACUUUCAAACUCGACCAUAUAUGUCAUCAAACGAGAAAUACACAAUACACGAAAAACACAAACUACUUAUUUCAAUAUGAAAAGCAAAUUAACUGAAAGUCGAAUAAAACUUCAAAGAAGAUUUAGAUAAGAUCAAUAUCAAGGGGACAAUUAACAACUAUUAAUCCAAGAAAAACAGACACCGUAAGCAACUCGUACAUCAGACGGGCGUUUUGUCUACAUACAACUCAUCAAAAUCAAGUGUCACUUAUCGUAUCAUCUGGAGAAAUGGCAUGCAGACUAAAACACAACAAACAUUUUCGCCUACCUAAUGCGUUUUAUGAGGUGAUUUGUGGAUAAUUUGUUAUUUCCUGUUACUUUUUCUACUUCUGCACUGUAUACUUAUUAUUUUUAAAACUGAGAUCCAAA
rnacentral:lncRNA from 1 species